GAGAGUUUGAUCCUGGCUCAGGACGAACGCUGGCGGCGUGCCUAAUACAUGCAAGUCGAACGCACUCUCGUUUAGAUUGAAGGAGCUUGCUCCUGAUUGAUAAACAUUUGAGUGAGUGGCGGACGGGUGAGUAACACGUGGGUAACCUGCCCUAAAGUGGGGGAUAACAUUUGGAACAGAUGCUAAUACCGCAUAAAACCUAACACCGCAUGGUGUAGGGUUGAAAGAUGGUUUCGGCUAUCCUUUAGGAUGGACCCGCGGUGCAUUAGUUAGUUGGUGAGGUAAAGGCUCACCAAGACCGUGAUGCAUAGCCGACCUGAGAGGGUAAUCGGCCACACUGGGACUGAGACACGGCCCAGACUCCUACGGGAGGCAGCAGUAGGGAAUCUUCCACAAUGGACGAAAGUCUGAUGGAGCAACGCCGCGUGAGUGAAGAAGGUUUUCGGAUCGUAAAACUCUGUUGUUGGAGAAGAAUGUAUCUGAUAGUAACUGAUCAGGUAGUGACGGUAUCCAACCAGAAAGCCACGGCUAACUACGUGCCAGCAGCCGCGGUAAUACGUAGGUGGCAAGCGUUGUCCGGAUUUAUUGGGCGUAAAGCGAGCGCAGGCGGUUUCUUAAGUCUGAUGUGAAAGCCUUCGGCUCAACCGAAGAAGUGCAUCGGAAACUGGGAAACUUGAGUGCAGAAGAGG
rnacentral:rRNA from 2 species